rnacentral:misc_RNA from 1 species
AAGAGAAAGAAGCCCGACAAACACUAUAUCCAGGAGGGGAGAUAAAUUUCCCUUGGGCAGCUUCCUGAGUUGAAUCUGCAUUUGGAGUUGAAGAGCUUGUAGUUGGUUCUCCAGUGGCUGAACUCAUAACUGAUGUCUGUGAACUUGAAGACUGUGUUUCCUGGGGCAGCCAAGCUGGGGAUGCCAUUUCACUGCUUCAAUUACUUGAAGAAAUAAAAACAGUGAUCCUCUAGUACUGCUUCUUUGAGAUAAUUAUUUUGCUUUCAUCUAUUUGGUUGACCUGUGAACACGGAGAGUGAUAGGAACUGAGCGAUUGGUUGAAUUGACGGAGCAGAGAUACGGCAGCGCAGUGCCCGCUGAGCGAGU